rnacentral:rRNA from 1 species
UACGGAGGGAGCUAGCGUUGUUCGGAUAUACUGGGCGUAAAGCGCACGUAGGCGGCGCCGUAAGUCAGGGGUGAAAUCCCGGAGCUCAACUCCGGAACUGCCCUUGAAACUGCAGUGCUAGAAUCCUGGAGAGGCGAGUGGAAUUCCGAGUGUAGAGGUGAAAUUCGUAGAUAUUCGGAAGAACACCGGUGGCGAAGGCGGCCAUCUGGCUCGGUACUGACGCUCAGGCGCGAAAGCGUGGGGAGCAAACAGG